rnacentral:rRNA from 1 species
CCUCGCUUUUCUCAACCGUAGGGAGGUUGAGGAACAAGUGCUGGGCAAGACCGGUGCCAGCCGCCGCGGUAAUACCGGCAGCACAAGUGAUGACCGCUGUUAUUGGGCCUAAAGCGUCCGUAGCUGGCCAGACAAGUUCAUCGGGAAAUCUGCGCGCCUAACGCGCAGGCGUCCGGUGGAAACUGCCUGGCUUGGGACCGGAAGACCAGAGGGGUACGUCUGGGGUAGGAGUGAAAUCCCGUAAUCCUGGACGGACCACCGGUGGCGAAAGCGCCUCUGGAAGACGGAUCCGACGGUGAGGGACGAAAGCUCGGGUCACGAACCGGAUUAGAUACCCGGGUAGUCCGAGCUGUAAACGAUGUCUGCUAGGUGUGACACAGGCUACGAGCCUGUGUUGUGCCGUAGGGAAGCCGUGAAGCAGACCGCCUGGGAAGUACGUCCGCAAGGAUGAAACUUAAAGGAAUUGGCGGGGGGAGCACAA